AUCUAGCUGACGAGUCCCAAAUAAAACGGAACGUACAUCCUGGAU
rnacentral:hammerhead_ribozyme from 1 species